rnacentral:rRNA from 1 species
UAGAAAUUCCGUAACCACCGAAACUUAAGUUAGAGGGACACUUCGAGAUAGCGGAACCGCGGCGUUGGUAGACCGCGGCGAAAGGGACUGAAAUAUAGUAGGGAAGUCCGCGAUGCUCGGAGGCGAGAAAAGCUCUAAGGAAUGCUAAGGUGUCCGUACCGCAAACCGACACAGGUAGAUGAGGAGAGAAUCCUAAGGCCAACGGGAGAAGGGUUGUCAAGGAACUCGGCAAGUUGACCCCGUAACUUCGGAAGAAGGGGAGCCUCGAAAGAGGCCGCAGUGAAUAGGCCCAGGCAACUGUUUACCAAAAACACAGGUCUAUGCUAAAUCGAAAGAUGACGUAUAUGGGCUGACGCCUGCCCGGUGCCGGAAGGUUAAGAGGAGAUGUCAGGCAACGAAGCAUCGAAUUGAAGCCCCGGUAAACGGCGGCCGUAACCAUAACGGUCCUAAGGUAGCGAAAUUCCUUGUCAGGUAAGUUCUGACCCGCACGAAUGGCGUAAUGAUCUGGGCACUGUCUCGACAGCCCACCCGGCGAAAUUGUAGUACUGGUGAAGAUGCCAGUUACCCGCAACUAGACGGAAAGACCCCAUGGAGCUUUACUGCAGCUUAAUACUGGAAAUCGGUAAUUCAUGUACAGGAUAGGUGGGAGACGGAGAAGCAUGGUCGUCAGGUCAUGUGGAGUCGCCCUUGGGAUACCACUCUUGGAUUGCUGAUUUUCUAACCUGCGGCCGUGAAUCCGGUCGGGGGACACUGUUAGGCGGGCAGUUUGACUGGGGCGGUCGCCUCCAAAAAGGUAACGGAGGCGCUCAAAGGUUCGUUCAGCACGGACGGAAAUCGUGCAUUGAGUGUAAACGCAUAAACGAGCCUAACUGCGAGACCGACGGGUCGAGCAGUAACGAAAGUUGGAGUUAGUGAUCCGGUGGUAUGUGAGUGGAAAUGCCAUCGCUCAACGGAUAAAAGCUACCCUGGAUAACAGGCUGAUCUCCCCCAAGCGUCCACAGCGACGGGGAGGUUUGGCACCUCGAUGUCGGCUCGUCGCAUCCUGGGGCUGAAUUCGGUCCCAAGGGUUUGGCUGUUCGCCAAUUAAAGCGGCACGCGAGCUGGGUUCAGAACGUCGUGAGACAGUUCGGUCCCUAUCUGUUGCGGGCGUAAGAGAUUUGAAGGGAGCUGUCCUUAGUACGAGAGGACCGGGAUGGACGUACCUCUGGUGCACCAGUUGUCCUGCCAAGGGCAUAGCUGGGUAGCUAUGUACGGACGAGAUAAACGCUGAAAGCAUCUAAGCGUGAAACUCCCCCUAAGAUGAGAUCUCUCAUUCGAAAGAAGUAAGGACCCAGAGAGACGAUCUGGUUGAUAGGCGCGAGGUGGAAGUGCAGUAAUGUAUGGAGCUGACGCGUACUAAUAGUCCGAGGGCUUGACUAA